rnacentral:rRNA from 1 species
UCCUAAAGAGUAACGGAGGAGCACGAAGGUUGGCUAAUCCUGGUCGGACAUCAGGAGGUUAGUGCAAUGGCAUAAGCCAGCUUGACUGCGAGCGUGACGGCGCGAGCAGGUGCGAAAGCAGGUCAUAGUGAUCCGGUGGUUCUGAAUGGAAGGGCCAUCGCUCAACGGAUAAAAGGUACUCCGGGGAUAACAGGCUGAUACCGCCCAAGAGUUCAUAUCGACGGCGGUGUUUGGCACCUCGAUGUCGGCUCAUCACAUCCUGGGGCUGAAGUAGGUCCCAAGGGUAUGGCUGUUCGCCAUUUAAAGUGGUACGCGAGCUGGGUUUAGAACGUCGUGAGACAGUUCGGUCCCUAUCUGCCGUGGGCGCUGGAGAACUGAGGGGGGCUGCUCCUAGUACGAGAGGACCGGAGUGGACGCAUCACUGGUGUUCGGGUUGUCAUGCCAAUGGCACUGCCCGGUAGCUAAAUGCGGAAGAGAUAAGUGCUGAAAGCAUCUAAGCACGAAACUUGC